rnacentral:rRNA from 2 species
GGCGACGACGGGUAGCCGGCCUGAGAGGGUGACCGGCCACACUGGGACUGAGACACGGCCCAGACUCCUACGGGAGGCAGCAGUGGGGAAUAUUGCACAAUGGGCGCAAGCCUGAUGCAGCAACGCCGCGUGAGGGAUGACGGCCUUCGGGUUGUAAACCUCUUUUAGCAGGGAAGAAGCGAGAGUGACGGUACCUGCAGAAAAAGCACCGGCUAACUACGUGCCAGCAGCCGCGGUAAUACGUAGGGUGCAAGCGUUGUCCGGAAUUAUUGGGCGUAAAGAGCUCGUAGGCGGUUUGUCGCGUCUGCUGUGAAAUCCCGAGGCUCAACUUCGGGCUUGCAGUGGGUACGGGCAGACUAGAGUGCGGUAGGGGAGAUUGGAAUUCCUGGUGUAGCGGUGG